rnacentral:tRNA from 1 species
AAAAAGAUAAGCUAAGAAAUAAGCUUUUAGGUUCAUACCCUAAUUAUAGAUAUUAAUCUUCUUUUUA